rnacentral:rRNA from 1 species
AGAGUUUGAUCCUGGCUCAGGACUAACGCUGGCGGCGUGCCUAACACAUGCAAGUCGAACGAGGUAGCAAUACCUAGUGGCAGACGGGUGAGUAACACGUGGUCAACCUGCCUUCGCGUGUGGAAUAACUAGCCGAAAGGUUAGCUAAUACCGCAUACGAUCGCUCGGGGGCAUCCUUGAGCGAUGAAAGGAGCAAUCCG